rnacentral:lncRNA from 1 species
UGGGCUUGGGUGCCCCAACACUUUGCACCCUUUUCUUAUUCUUCUUGUUCUUCUUUCCUUUCUUAAAGGAUCGACGUUCAGAAGAUGACCCUCCCACAACAUUCACCGACUCCUUUUGAAGCUGGUGAUCCUUCUCAAAGUUUUACAAUAACCCCAGCAAACUGUAGUAGUUAACUGCAGAUUUUGUCAUUUGAAAAUGAGUAAGGAAAGAAAGGUAGGACUUGGGC